rnacentral:lncRNA from 1 species
UCUUUUCUCUCUUUUCCCAAUAACCGACUCUUCGGUUCUCUCAAAAACUCUCUCCCUUCUCUCUACUUUCUCUCUCUAAUUUCUCUGUGAUUUCAUCGGUUAAUCUCAAUAUUUACAUGGUAUCAGAGCCUUACAACGAUCCGAUCAUGUUUGUUCACAUAUCGGUAUCACUUUUGAACGUUUGUUUGACGAUUUUUGAC